CCCUAGCCCCGAUGGGAGUGGCAUCCUUUUUUGGGUGACUGAGGUUCUCGAAGGCAGCCAAAAAAGAUAGAACGGACAGCGGGAUCAAGC
rnacentral:sRNA from 1 species